UACGUAGGGCGCAAGCGUUAUCCGGAAUUAUUGGGCGUAAAGAGCUCGUAGGCGGUUUGUCGCGUCUGCCGUGAAAGUCCGGGGCUCAACUCCGGAUCUGCGGUGGGUACGGGCAGACUAGAGUGAUGUAGGGGAGACUGGAAUUCCUGGUGUAGCGGUGAAAUGCGCAGAUAUUAGGAGGAACACCGGUGGCGAAGGCGCUGCUCUGGGCCGAUACUGACGCUGAGGAGCGAAAGCGUGGGUAGCAAACAGG
rnacentral:rRNA from 1 species